CCUUAGCAGAGAAAACUAUUUUCAAUGUGUCACUUCUGCAAUUACAGUACAGUACCAUAUUGACUGUUCAAUUUCUAUCUCAAGACCCAAUAAUGUGCUCUGUGUGUCAAAUCAGUAGUCUUCACUUCUGUAGCUUUCUAACUUCUGUAGCUUUCUAACUUCUGUAGCUUUCUAACUUCUGUAGCUUUCUAACUUCUGGAGCUUUCUAACUUCUUGAGCUUUCUAACUUCUGGAGCCUUUUCAACUAUUUUAGGAAAUGUGACAGAAAAUUGUACAAAAGACCAAUAAUAACGACAAUUAGUUUAAAGAAUUAGACUAACCUCUGGUGGAUUAAAUCGACAAAUUCCUGUCUUGACAGCAAUGUUCAGACUUGCAUCAACUUCCUGCAAAACAAGUUGCACAUGAGUUCGCCUUGGAACGAUGAUGAUACACCCACCUCUAGAACGGGUGUCAUCCAUCUUCCCCAUUAUCCCCAGUGUACGUAUACGUGUGUUCUCUGUUUGUCUGUUGUCAGUUAGUUUUGUUUUGUCAAGCCUACCAGCGUUUUUUCCCGUGCUCCUGUCUGUCUCUAAUUCCUGUUUUCUAUCUUUCCAGGUUUUUGACCAUUCUGCCUGCCUUGACCCUGAGCCUGCCUGUCAUUCUGUACCUUGUUAUAUCACCCUGGAUUACUGACCUCUGCCUGCACCCCUGUUUUUGAAAUAAACUUUUGUUACUUCAAAA